AUGAGGAAUAUUGGUCAAUGGCCGAGAGGCUGAACCAGCCAAGUCGCGUGAGGGAAGACGGCCCUACGGGUUGUAAACCUCUUUUGUCGGGGAGCAAAGGGGAGCACGUGUGCUCCUAAAUGAGCGUACCCGAAGAAAAAGCAUCGGCUAACUCCGUGCC
rnacentral:rRNA from 1 species